rnacentral:rRNA from 1 species
GACGAACGCUGGCGGCGUGCUUAACACAUGCAAGUCGAACGGGUCUGCCCUGUUUUUUGCGGGGUGGGUCAGUGGCGAACGGGUGAGUAACACGUGAGUAACCUGCCCCUCACUUCUGGAUAACCGCUUGAAAGGGUGGCUAAUACGGGGUGUUCUGGCUGUGCCGCAUGGUGUGGCUGGGAAAGAUUCACUUUUGUGGUGUUUUGGUGGGGGAUGGGCUCGCGGCCUAUCAGCUUGUUGGUGGGGUGAUGGCCUGCCAAGGCUUUGACGGGUAGCCGGCCUGGGAGGGUGGGCGGUCACACUGGGACUGAGAGACGGCCCAGACUCCUGCGGGAGGCAGCAGUGGGGGGUAUUGAACAAUGGGCGGAAGCCUGAUGCAGCGACGUCGCGUGAGGGAUGGAGGCCUUCGGGUUGUGAACCUCUUUCGCCGGUGAAGAAGGUCCUGCUCUUUGUGGUGGGGUUGACGGUAGCCGGGUUAUGAAGCGCCGGCUAACUACGU